rnacentral:lncRNA from 1 species
GAACAUUAUUCAGGGUAUUUAUGUCCCUGGUCAUUCCAUGAGUUAAGAAUGGUAAUGGGUGCUUGACUUCAUUCAAGCAUUCAUUAACUCAGUGAAGAUGGACAGUGUGUGAAUUAUAAGAGCUCUGUUUCUAAAGUGAUUCAACUAUACUUGCACAGAAUUCCAAAAGCUCUACUGUUUAUUACUCUUCAUUACUAAUACAGCCUUUGAUUGUAAGCAGGCUGUCCUUUGUGAAUAACAAUCACAGAUACAGACAUCUUCAGACAGUUCAAGUCGUGUGCUUCAAUCAAACUCUAGUCGGAAAAGAACUUUCAGAGCAAGGCUGCUUCCACAGUACUGACAAAAUCUGCUAUAUAUCACAUAACAUUGCAUGGUGCACUCACUCAAACUUUAUGUUUCCCUGUUUUAUAAAUUCUUAAGAGCACUGCAUGGCUCACAAAAAUCUAAUACUGGCACUCUCUAUGUUGGCGAUUACUGAAUGGAAAUAUGCAUAUUUAGCUUGAAAGAAAGAAGGGUAAUAUUUUCCUUGCAAUUUAUUCACCAUUUCCUUUAUAUAACCUGAAAUCAUGAGCUUUGUGACACAUUGGAAAAGAAAUACUUUAUUAUAGAAAAUAUAACUAGAUAGUAAUGAGUUUUAAAGCAGAGUAUUGACCAUGUAUAAUGGUUCUCACAGAUAUGAAAUGAAAAAAUCCGAAAAAUAAAAGUAAAUCUCUUAAAAAUACUAAAUGUUAUUGAACCUGUUUUUACUGCAUGGAUAUUUUUGUGAUUCUAGAAAUUACCUAAUUAAAUUUUAUAUUUAUAGAAUGAAAAAUCAUGUAAGAAAUUAUGUAAAGGUGAUUCAAUACAAUAUGACAUUUAAUCAAGGCAGUUUAGUAAAUAGUAAGAGGACUAAGAGUGCUAAAUGACUAUGCAUAUAUGUGUGUUGCAUAAAAUAAAAGGAAAAUGAGAAUAAUAAUCCACACAAGUUAUCAACAGAGUAUGUAAGAAGUAAAUUUUUUUUUACUGGUGGAGGGUUUUGCAUCAACGUCAUGGCUGCAGACUGAUCAGAGAGUGGUUACUGAAGAUUGAGGUGGUUGUGCCAAUUUCUUAAAACAAGACAACAAUAAAGUUUGGUGCACCCAUUGCCUCUUUGUUUCACAAAAUAAUUCUCUAUAGGAUUCAAUGUUUUUGAUAGCAUUUUAUCCACAGUAGGACUUCUUUGAAAAUGAGAGUCAGUCCUCUCAAAACUUGCUGCUGCUUUAUCAACUAAGUUUUAGUAAUAUUCUGAAUCCUUUGCCACAUUUCAACAAUGUUCAUAGCAUCUUCACCAGGUGUAGACUCCAUCUAGAAACCACUUCCUUUGCUCAUCCAUAGGAAGGAAAUCCUUGUUUGUUAAAGUUUUGUCAUAAGAUUGCAGCAAGUCUUAUGUCACAUCGUCAUGCUCCACUUUUACUAUAGUUCUCUUUUUAUUUCCACCACAUUUGAAGUUACAUUCUGACUGAUAAUUUGGAACCUCUCAAGUCCUCCAUGAAGGGUGGAAUCAACUUAUUCCUAACUCCUGUUACUAACGACAUUUUGACUUCUUCCCAUGCAUUACAAACAUUCUUAAUGGCAUGUAGAGUGGUAAAUCCUUUCCAGAAAGUUUUCAAUUUACUUUGCCCAGAUCCAUCAGAGGAAUCACUAUCUAUAAAAGCUACAGCCUUAUGAAAUGUAUUGCUUUAAUAAUAAGACUUGAAAGUUGAGAUUACUGCUUGAUCCAUGAACUGUAGAAUGGAUGUUGUUUUAGCAGGCAUGAAAACAACAUUUAUCUUCUUGUACAUCUGCAUCAGAGCUCUUGGGUGACAAGAUUCACUGUCAAUUAAUAAUCAGUAAUAUUUGAAAGAAUCUUUUUUCUUGCGUAGUAGGUCUCAACUGUAGGCUUAAAAUAUUCAGUACAUCAUGUUAUAAAGCUAUGUGCUGUCAUCCAGGCUUUGUUGGUCUGCUUACAUGCACAGGCAGAGGAGAUUUAGCAUAAUUCUUAAGGGCAUUAGACUUUCAAAAUGGUAAAUAAGCAUUGGCUUCAAAUUAGUCAUCAGCUGCAUUAGCCACCCCCUGCCCCACACCAAGAGAGACAUCUGUCCUUUGAAGGUUUGAAGCCCGGCAUUUACUUCUCUGUAGCUAUGAAAGUCACAUAGAUGGUAUCUCCUUCCAAUAGAAUGUUAUUUCACCUACACUGAGAAUGUGUUGUUUACUGUAGCCAUCUUCAUCAAUGAUCUUAUCUGGAUCUUCUGGAUAACUUGCUGCAGCUUCUCCAUCACUAUUUCCAAAUUCACCUAACAUUUUUAUGAAGAUGGCUUCUUUUUAAAAAUUCCAUGUGCCAGCCUCUGCUAGUUUCAAACUUUUUCUUCUCUAGCUCCCACAGCCUUUGCAAAAUUGAAUAAUACUAGGGUAUUGCUCCGGAUUAGGCAAUGGCUUAAGGGAAUAUUACCACUGGUUUGGUCUUCUAGCUAGACUAAUAAAGCUUUCUCUGUAUUAGCAAUAAAGCUGUUUUUCCUUCUUUUCAC